rnacentral:rRNA from 1 species
UACGGGAGGCAGCAGUGGGGAAUAUUGCACAAUGGGCGAAAGCCUGAUGCAGCUAUGCCGCGUGUAUGAAGAAGGCCUUAGGGUUGUAAAGUACUUUCAUCGGGGAGGAAAAACAAAACUAAUAAUUUUAUUUCUUGACGUUACCCGAAAAAGAAGCACCGGCUAACUCCGUGCCAGCAGCCGCGGUAAUACGGAGGGUGCUAGCGUUAAUCAGAAUUACUGGGCGUAAAGAGCACGUAGGUGGUUUUUUUAAGUCAGAUGUGAAAUCCCUGGGCUUAACCUGGAACUGCAUUUUGAAACUGAAAUACUAGAGUAUCGUAGAGGGAGGUAGAAUUCUAGGUGUAGCGGUGAAAUGCGUAGAUAUCUGGAGGAAUACCUGUGGCGAAAGCGGCCUCCUAAACGAAUACUGACACUGAGGUGCGAAAGCGUGGGGAGCAAACGAGGAUUAGAUACC